AAGCGGCAGACGGUGAGUAACGGUGAGUAACUAACCUCUGGUGAGGUAUAGCNGCGAGAAUUGCGGUUAAUCCCGCAUAAGAUCUCCAGGCUUGGUUUGGAGAUGAAAGCUUCGGGCGCCGGAGGAGGGGCUCGCGUCUAUCAGGUAGUUGGUGAGGUAACGGCCCACCAAGCCGAUGACGGGUAGCUGGUCUUAGAGGACGACCAGCCAGAGGGGGACUGAGACACGGCCCCCACUCCUACGGGAGGCAGCAGCAGGGAAUCUUGGGCAAUGGGCGAAAGCCUGACCCAGCGACGUCGCGUGGAGGAAGAAGGCCUUCGGGCUGUAAACUCCUUUUCCAAGGGAAGAGUAAGGACGGUACCUUGGGAAUAAGCUCCGGCUAACUACGUGCCAGCAGCCGCGGUAAUACGUAGGGAGCGAGCGUUACCCGGAAUCACUGGGCGUAAAGAGCGCGUAGGCGGCUGGGUAAGUCUCUUGUGAAAGCUCCCGGCUUAACUGGGAGAGGUCAAGGGAUACUACCUGACUAGAGGGCAGUAGAGGAAAGCGGAAUUCCCGGUGUAGCGGUGAAAUGCGUAGAUAUCGGGAGGAAC
rnacentral:rRNA from 1 species